rnacentral:rRNA from 1 species
UCCUACGGGAGGCAGCAGUGAGGAAUAUUGGUCAAUGGUCGGGAGACUGAACCAGCCAAGCCGCGUGAGGGAGGAAGGUACAGAGUAUCGUAAACCUCUUUUGUCAGGGAACAAAGGCGGGGACGUGUCCCCGGAUGAGUGUACCUGAAGAAAAAGCAUCGGCUAACUCCGUGCCAGCAGCCGCGGUAAUACGGAGGAUGCGAGCGUUAUCCGGAUUUAUUGGGUUUAAAGGGUGGGCAGGCGGUCUGUUAAGUCAGCGGUCAAAACCCGGGGCUCAACCCCGGCCCGCCGUUGAAACUGGCAGG